GUAACCACUAAAUGUCACAGUGAUCUCUCUAGUCCAGCUCAGCACUGCUCCACAAACUCAUCUUUUUACAGUCACUGACUCAGCUUUCAUCUCCUAACGGAAAAGGUUACUUCAGGAUGAUGGAAGAAAUAAUUGUUAAGAACUAAACCAGCAAGGCAUUCUACCUAGGUUAAGACUAUAGCAAUUCUCUGGAGACAUACCUGAACUUGUUGACAGAGCCUAUCUGGGAAAUUUUAAAACAGAUUGGCUUGGUUGGAGUUUUUAAUUGUUUUGUUUUUUUUUUUUUUUUUUUUUUUUGAAUAAAGGUGAAGAAAAAAAAAACGGAUGUCAGAACUGAAAGCAAACUGCUUCUUGUUGAAAAAAUCUGAAAUGAUCUGAUUUUAAGCUGUUUUCAGAGGAACAGCUUUCUCUUUUAUCUUUUUUUUUUCUUUUUCCUUUUUUUUUUUUUUUUUUUUUUCCAUUUAGAAUUGGAAAUAACUUCAAAAGAGUAUUUCCCUACAGCAGGAAAACUCUUUUCCAAAAGUCAACCACACCCACUCUUUCAGCAGCCUUCCGGAGCUGAGGCAUUACAGCAAGCAUCUGUGAAAGGGAGUUCAUUGAGGACUGGAGCAUGUUUGGUGUUUUAAAUACUCAUAGCACAAUAGUAGUGAAGCCUGCCCUUCUCCAUCUUGCCCGGAAUAAGCAAUGGAUUACCAUUCUUGUCCUGACAAAGAGCUCCUCUUUGCAUGAAGAAAGUUGGAAACAGUGAUUCAAAAAAGAUGCACUACUAGCACUAGGCUCUGAGUAUGUUCUUCUCCCUGAGCAAGAGUUCUGUAUAUCACCUGAGUACAUAUGCAGAAAGUCUCCUGUCCUAAAGACAAGACUCACUUGUAUCUGUUUAUUCAGUUUGAAUUAAAGUGGUAGCAACAGUACUGAGCAAGAGUUUUCCUGUCAUACUUCAGAGCAGAACUUUUCUCAAAUUAUGCAAGGGUAGUUGCCAAGCCGCUCUCCACCAUAUUUGAAAAAUCGUGGCUGUCUGGUGAAGUCCCCGAUGACUGCAAAAAGGGAAACAUUACUCCCAUUUUUCGGAAAGGGAGAAAAGAAGACCCAGGGAACUACAGGCCAGUGAGCCUCACCUCUGUGCCUGGGAACAUCAUGGAGCAGAUCCUCCUAGAAGCUAUGCUAAGGCACACACAAGAUAAAGAAGUCAUUUGAGACAGCCAGCAUGGCUUCACCAAGGGCAGAUUGUGACCAAUCUGGUGGCCUUCUAUGAUGGAGUGAUGACUUCAGUGGAUGGGAGAAGGGCGAUGGAUGUCAUCUACAUGGACUUCUGCAAAGCCUUCGACAUGGUCAUGGUCAAAGCAAUGUUGAGGGACAUGGUUUAGCGAGAACUGUUGGUGAUGGGUGAAUGGUUGGACUGGAUGAUCCUGUGGGUCUUUUCCAACCUUAACGAUUCUAUGAUUCUAUGAUUCUGUGGUCCCUCACCACAUCACUGUCUGGAGUUCUCUUGCCCUGGAGUUUCAUGAGGCCAAGCAGAAUCUUCACAUAGCAUCCAUUCUCUUCCAGAAGCCAUCUGAUAUUUGGCUGGACAUCAUGCUUCACAUGAUACUUCAUUGGUAAUACGGAUGACAAACAAACACUUCUGGAAAAGGUGCUCCUACUUUUUGGGCAAGGCCUAGGCCAUUAUUUCUAGUGCAAGGUAAAAACUUGAUUUCUGAGACAAUUUUAUGUACAAAAUCUACAUAUUUAUCCAUCAUGAAAAACAGAGCAACCUUUUUUUUUUGUUUUGAAAUAUAAGUGACGAAUGUUGGUGGUGCUAAUGGGAAUGGAGAAAGGGGUGUCAAGGAUUAGCUCCUUUUCUGAGGAUGCUUAUUUUGUUAGGUG
ensembl:lncRNA